UUAUGAAGUUAGCGGCGGACGGGUGAGUAACACGUGGGUAACCUGCCCAUAAGACUGGGAUAACUCCGGGAAACCGGGGCUAAUACCGGAUAACAUUUUGAACCGCAUGGUUCGAAAUUGAAAGGCGGCUUCGGCUGUCACUUAUGGAUGGACCCGCGUCGCAUUAGCUAGUUGGUGAGGUAACGGCUCACCAAGGCAACGAUGCGUACCCGACCUGAGAGGGUGAUCGGCCACACUGGGACUGAGACACGGCCCAGACUCCUACGGGAGGCAGCAGUAGGGAAUCUUCCGCAAUGGACGAAAGUCUGACGGAGCAACGCCGCGUGAGUGAUGAAGGCUUUCGGGUCGUAAAACUCUGUUGUUAGGGAAGAACAAGUGCUAGUUGAAUAAGCUGGCACCUUGACGGUACCUAACCAGAAAGCCACGGCUAACUACGUGCCAGCAGCCGCGGUAAUACGUAGGUGGCAAGCGUUAUCCGGAAUUAUUGGGCGUAAAGCGCGCGCAGGUGGUUUCUUAAGUCUGAUGUGAAAGCCCACGGCUCAACCGUGGAGGGUCAUUGGAAACUGGGAGACUUGAGUGCAGAAGAGGAAAGUGGAAUUCCAUGUGUAGCGGUGAAAUGCGUAGAGAUAUGGAGGAACACCAGUGGCGAAGGCGACUUUCUGGUCUGUAACUGACACUGAGGCGCGAAAGCGUGGGGAGCAAACAGGAUUAGAUACCCUGGUAGUUCACGCCGUAAACGAUGAGUGCUAAGUGUUAGAGGGUUUCCGCCCUUUAGUGCUGAAGUUAACGCAUUAAGCACUCCGCCUGGGGAGUACGGCCGCAAGGCUGAAACUCAAAGGAAUUGACGGGGGCCCGCACAAGCGGUGGAGCAUGUGGUUUAAUUUGAAGCAACGCGAAGAACCUUACCAGGUCUUGACAUCCUUUGACAACCCUAGAGAUAGGGCUUUUCCUUCGGGAGCAGAGUGACAGGUGGUGCAUGGUUGUUGUCAGCUCGUGUCGUGAGAUGUUGGGUUAAGUCCCGCAACGAGCGCAACCCUUGAUUU
rnacentral:rRNA from 1 species